rnacentral:lncRNA from 1 species
GGGUGAACAUCCUUGGGAAGCCACAGAGAGCAAGGCGCAGUUUUUCAUUGAUCACCACUUUCAAGAUGCUCCCAGAAUCGUGCUGUCUAGGAAGCCAUUUAAACUGGUGAGAAGCCAUCCUCUCUUGAAUGGGGGCUCCCACUGUACAUCUGGCACCCACUUCACAGAUUCUGGGGGAUGUCAACACCAGCACUGCUGAGCUGUGUGACCUUGAGCAAGACAGUUAGCCUCUCUGAACCUCAGUGUCCUUCUCUGUAGGCUGGAGAUUGAUAUACCUUCAUUAUCGGGGUAUGAGAGUGUUAUAAAUCCAUGAACUGGAAGAUGCUUUCUUAUAACUCAGAGAAAAGAGAUGAAAAUGAAUCAAAGAACAGGAAGGAGACAAGCUCAGGAGAGUCACCCUAAGAAGGAUGUGUGGAAGACUUGACUGGAGGAUCAAAAUGUGUCGGGGGAAGGUGUACAAGGAGGAGUAAGGACACAGAUGUCCUGACUUCACACAGUGGGGGAUUAGAAGCCACCAUCAAACACAGAUGAAACAGGAAUAAAAGUAGUAGUACAUUACUUAAGCUUUAAAAGGGUAAGACUCCUGGGAAUUUGGAAGCUGAGACUUGAGGAGCAGAGGCAUUUAGCUGUGUAAACACAGAGCUUCAGUGGCAGCACCCUAAAUGCUUAGCUGAUAGAUCCGGAAUUAAAUACAGACCUAGAAACUGGAGUUGGAAAACUUCCUGGCAGCACUCCUUCCCUGCCAUCCCGGUGAUCCCCUUCUGGAUGGAGGGUGUGGAGCUCAGCACAUUCACGUCUGCAGUUCUCAGAGAACCAAGUGUUAAGGAAUGUCAGGGAAGGAAGAAGGCAGCCAGCCAGGAAGGGGAGGUCCUGGCCUGAGCACGCCAGGCACAGAGGGAUAGAGGGUAGGGAGGAAACUGCACCUGUCUCCAACCCUCGACCCCAGCCCCGAAACACGACAUUGGCUGAAACAGAUUAAAAGCAUAAAAUGGCCCAAAGAAAUGGGAGAAGGUUGGCCUCUGGUCGGGCAAACAUGAGGGCAUGAAGAUAUAUAAUGUCCCACACGGGAGGAAACCCUUGCCGGGCCCCUCAGGAUUUAUAACAAGCUCACCUGAAGGAGAAACUUCAGGGGCACUUACACCAUCAGAUACCUAGAAAGGAGCUGUCAUUUCCUCACUGAAGAGUUUGCAAGCAGAUGGUAAAAGGGGUUUAAUUUGAAAACACUGAAACAUCGUGUUCGCUCAAAACCAUGACAAUUGCAGUUUUAUUGUCUCCACUCAGGAAAAUGUGUGUCUGGAUCAUCUUGUGGCCCGAAUGGGGAGAAAAGAUGCAGUAUUCCAAAGCAGGAGAUUCACUGAAAAAGAUGUUUAAGAAGUUGCUGAUGAAGAAAAGUUCAGGAUUCACAGCUCCAUACAAAGGGAAUAGCCACUUUUCUCAUUUUGAGAUAUGACUACUAACAAGUAUUAUUCUGCAUCUUCAGCCAGGCUGUGGAAGGCCCCAUUCUUUCUGUAACACAGAUGUUCAAUUGGAAUUUUCCAUCUGGUCACAUAAUUCUGCUUUGGGAUUUAACAGGUUAACUUGGCACUGGUCACUGGCCUUGGAGGGCAAAAUAUGAUAGUUCAGCAUAGAUUCUAUUUGUUGAUAACUCAUCAUAGCCACAUUGGCAUCAAUAAGUUUUCUGUAGGGCACACUUUUCCUUUAAUGUGGACACAGUCACAUAAUAAUAUGCUUAUGGUGCAGACGUUGGUUCUAAACUCACUUUGCAUUAUCUGUAUCUGUAUCUGCAUCUAUAUCUGUAUCUGUAUCUAUCUGUAUCUACAUCUGUAUCUGUAUCUGUACUUAUAUCUGUAUCUGUAUCUAUCUGUAUCUGUAUCUAUAUCUGUAUCUGUAUAUAUAUCUGUAUCUAUUUGUAUCAUCUAUCAGUAUCUGUAUCUAUAUUUGUAUCUAUCUAUAUCUGUAUCUGUAUCUGUCUGUAUUUGUAUCUGUAUCUGUAUCAUCAAUCUGUACCUGUAGCUGUCUGUAUCUGUAUCAUCUAUCUGUAUCUGUAUCUAUACUUGUAUCUGGAUCUAUAUCUGUAUCUAUACUUGUAUCUGUAUCUAUAUCUGUAUCUAUCUGUAUCUGUAUCUGUAUCAUCUAUCUGUAUCUGUAUUUUUAUCUGUAUCUUUAUCUAUACCAGUAUCUGUAUCUAUCUGUACUUGUAUCUAUCUGUGUCUGUAACUGUCUGUAAUUAUUUAUCUACAUCUAUUUCUAUCUAAUCUCAUUUUAUUUUUAUUUAUUUUUGGAGCAGUUUCAGGUUCACAGCAAAAUGGAGCAGCAAACACAGAGAUUUCCCAUACAACCCGGUCCCCACAUGUGCACAGCCUCCCCCAUUGUUAACAACCCCUGCCAAGGUGGCAUUUUUGUUAUAACUGAUGAACCUACAUUUACACAUACUUAUCACCCAAAGUUCAUAGUUUACAUUAGGGCUCACUCUUGUUGUACAUUAUACAGAUUCAGACCGGUUAUGAUGAUACGUCUUUAUCAUCAUGGUAUUGUACAGAGCAGCUUCAUAUCCUAAAAAUCUUCUGCACUCAGUCUGUUCAUGCCUUCCCACUAACCCUUGGCAGCCACUAAUCUUUUUACUGUCUACCUUCUUUUGCCUUUUCCAAAAUGUCAUAUAGUUGGAAUCAUACAGUAUGAGGCCUUUUCACAUUGGCUUUUCUCAUUUAGUAAUAUGCAUUUAAGACUCCUCUCUGUCUUUUUACGGUUUGAUAGCUCAUUUUAUGACUUGAUAGCUCAUUGAUUUUCAGCACUAAAUAAUAUUUCAUUGUCUAAAUGUACCACAGUUUAUUUUUCCAUUCAUCUGUUGAAGAACAUCUUGAUUUUUUCUAAGUUUUGGCACAUAUGAAUGAAUAAAGUUGAUAUACAUAUCUGUGUGCAGAUUUUUCUGUGUAUCUGUUUUCAGCUCCUUUGGGUAAAUAUCAAGGAGUAUGAUUGCUGGAUAGUAUGGCAGGAGUGUGUUUAGUGUUGUAAGAAAUCACCAAAUUACCUUCCAAAGUGAUUGUACCAUUUUGUAUUCCUACCUGCAAUGAAUGAGUUCCUUUAGCUCCACAUCCUUAUAUUUAAUGUCUCA